GUUGGGAUUUUCCAUUACAGGGAUCCGGUAGGUCAUGCCCAGCAUCUGCCCUCCUUCUCUUCCUGGGUUACAGCAGGAAGGGUGAGUGGAAGGGGGCAACUCCCUUCUCUGCACCGGCCCCUCCACCGACCUUGACUUUGGACCUGGGGAGAUCAGGUAGUGGGAGGAAACAACAAGGAGAAAACAGAUCCAAGUUCAAGCCUCGGUGUGUAGAGAGGAGAGUGAGAGAAGUAAUUGAAGAUGCAGCAAGAAGGCUCAUGGUUAGACAACAGGAGGGACUGCCUGAAGAAGUCGAUGAAAGAGAGACCCACAGGUUGGGGGCAGCCUUGCCCUGGGUGGACAAGAGAUGACUUGGGAUUUAGGAAGCAGCCACUCAUCGGUUCCUGGGUCAGAGUGCCCCGGUUAUCUUCUGCAGGACACAAGACCUCCGACUCCAGGACAUCAACCAGAAUAGACGCCACCUGGUCUUUUGAUCUGGGGUGCCUGGUUGGGCUCCUGCUUCCUUUGAACACAGCCAGUGGUGCCAGCAUGGACCAAUGCCCUUGGGGUAAGAAGAGGGAAGCAGAGACCAAGAAAGACUUGAAGGGCACCCAGGUCCCUGGAUUGGCACAACUGUCUUGGUUCAUCUCUGCACGAGUUGGGCGUCUGCGUAAAGAUAGGUUUUAGGCAGCAUCUCUGUCUUUUCUCUUUGAGUUGAGCCUCUCAGCAAGUGGGCAGAGAGAAUGUUCCCUUCUGGGAGGAGGGGAAAACAUGGCUCAUCGGGGCAGUAUGGGUCAAGGCUUUCAUAAACACACACAAAUCACAGGACAUUCUUGUGUGUGAUUCUUAGCCCCCACCAAACUGGGAUUUAUACACACUUAAGAGAAACGGAGCUGAGGGCUAAGUGUGCUGGUGGCUAAGUGUGCUAAGUGUCUGGGGGGAGGAGGGUGUGUGCUCUUUGCUUGGGUGUGGUUGUCACCCUGUCCCCUAGCUGCUGUCUGGGUCCAGAGUAGAAUACAUGUUUCACAUACACGCUGCUCCGUUUGUCUUUUUAAUAAUUUAUCUAUUUUUAAUUGAAGGAUAGUUGCUUUACAAGGUGGUGUUGGUUUCUGCCAUACAUCAACAUGAAUCAGCCAUAGACAUACAUACAUCCCCUCUCUCUUGAACCUCCCUCCCUCACGUUUGCCUUUAAGAAGCCAUGUAACAAGGACUUCCCUGACUUCCCUGGCAGUCCAAUCAUUGGGACUUUGUGCUUCCACUGCAGGGGGCUCAGGCUCAAUCCCCGGUUGGAGAACUAAGAUUCCACUUGCCACGUGGUGUGGCCAAAUGAAUAAAUAAAAGAAGCCAUGUAACAAGAGUUACGGACUCCUCACACCAGACAAUCCAGGGUUCAAACCUGAGUUUGGACAGUAACUAAUCCAUUAACCCUGGACAUGUUCCUAAACUCCUAUAGGCCUUGGUCUCCUCAUGAGGGGAUAAUAACAGCACUAAGCUCACAGGGUCCUGGGACGAUUAGGUGAGAUCACGUUACAUACCUGAUGGAGGUCAGAAUACAUCAGCAGCCCCGUCCGUGAAUGUGCCUCUCCGAGAACCCUGUCUCCACAGUUGUGACUGUAAAGUGUGACAUCUGAGCAAGGUUAUACACACACUCUUUCAGGACACAGCAUGAGUCUUAAUUAUUUCAAGGACUUGGGACACUUCGUGCCGCCUCAGUGCCCUGUGCAUAUUUCAUCUUAGGGGAAAUGAAUAAAAUAAGCCUGGGAAACACGAGCCUGGUACCUGAAGUAUGCCCACCCCUGGUGGUACAAGGAGAGCUGGCGGGCUGGGGAUGGCAUAGUGAGGACAGCCCCCCAGGAUCACUGAUCACCGUGUCCCGGCUCACUCAUGUCUCUGCAACCUCAGUAAGUGAAAGUCACUCAGUUGUGUCUGACUCUUUGCGACCCCAUGGACUGUAGUCCACCAGGCUCCUUUGUCCACGGAAUUCUCCAGGCCAGAACACUGGAGCGGGUUGCCAUUCCCUUCUCCAGGGGAUCUUCCCAACCCAGGGAUUGAAUCCAGGUGUCCCGCAUUGUAGGCGGAUUCUUUACUGUCUGAGCCACCAGGGAAGCCCCUGGCUCCCUCCCUUAAGACUCCUGAGACUUCUAGAGAGGCCGCAUUCCCCCUUGCUCU
ensembl:lncRNA